AUUCCAGCUCCAGUAGCGUAUAUUAAAGUUGUUGCAGUUAAAAAGCUCGUAGUUGGAUUUCUGACUUCAGAUACCUGACCCUCCCUCGCUAGAGGUGUGUGUGCCGGAGUAUUUGUAUCAUCCUUUCAGUGAUCGGCUCUACCCUUAACCGGGUCGGAGCUGCUAGCUGGAUCUUUUACUUUGAAGAAAUUGGAGUGUUUAAAGCAGGCUUACGCCAGAACAUAUUAGCAUGGAAUAAUAAUUUAGGACUUUUGUUCUAUUUUGUUGGUUUCUAGGACGAAAGUAAUGAUUGAUAGGGAUAGUUGGGGGUGCUAGUAUUCGGCGGCCAGAGGUGAAAUUCUUUGACCCGCUGAAGACUAACUUAUGCGAAAGCAUUCACCAAGGAUGUCUUCAUUG
rnacentral:rRNA from 1 species